rnacentral:rRNA from 1 species
GACGGAGGAUGCAAGUGUUAUCCGGAAUCACUGGGCGUAAAGCGUCUGUAGGUGGUCAAAUAAGUCAACUGUUAAAUCUUGAGGCUCAACCUCAAAAUCGCAGUCGAAACUAUUAGACUAGAGUAUAGUAGGGGUAAAGGGAAUUUCCAGUGGAGCGGUGAAAUGCGUAGAGAUUGGAAAGAACACCAAUGGCGAAAGCACUUUACUGGGCUAUCACUGACACUGAGAGACGAAAGCUAGGGGAGCGAAUGGG